rnacentral:rRNA from 1 species
AUUGAACGCUAGCGGGAUGCUUUACACAUGCAAGUCGCACGAGUGGCGGACGGGUGAGUAAUAUAUCGGAACGUUCCCAGUAGCGGGGGAUAACUACUCGAAAGUGUGGCUAAUACCGCACACUAUUGGAUCGGCCGACGUCGGAUUAGCUAGUUGGUGGGGUAAAGGCUCACCAAGGCAACGAUCCGUAGCUGGUUUGAGAGGACGACCAGCCACACUGGGACUGAGACACGGCCCAGACUCCUACGGGAGGCAGCAGUGGGGAAUUUUGGGCAAUGGGGGAAACCCUGAUCCAGCAAUCCCGCGUGUGUGAGAAGGCCUUCGGAUUGUAAAGUACUUUUGGCAGAGAAGCGGUAUCUGCAGAAUAAGCACCGGCUAACUACGUGCCAGCAGCCGCGGUAAUUC